AGAGUUUGAUCAUGGCUCAGAACGAACGCUGGCGGCAUGCCUAACACAUGCAAGUCGAACGAAGCCUUCGGGCUUAGUGGCGCACGGGUGCGUAACACGUGGAAUCUGCCCUUUGGUUCGGAAUAACAGUUAGAAAUGACUGCUAAUACCGGAUAAUGACGUAAGUCCAAAGAUUUAUCGCCGAAGGAUGAGCCCGCGUAGGAUUAGGUAGUUGGUGGGGUAGUGGCCCACCAAGCCGACGAUCCUUAGCUGGUCUGAGAGGAUGAUCAGCCACACUGGGACUGAGACACGGCCCAGACUCCUACGGGAGGCAGCAGUGGGGAAUAUUGGACAAUGGGCGAAAGCCUGAUCCAGCAAUGCCGCGUGAGUGAUGAAGGCCUUAGGGUUGUAAAGCUCUUUUACCAGGGAUGAUAAUGACAGUACCUGGAGAAUAAGCUCCGGCUAACUCCGUG
rnacentral:rRNA from 1 species